UUUUUGGGAAAUUCAAUUGCGCCAGAACACGUUUUAUCAGUGCAUUUCAUCCAUCUAGCCAAUUCAAAUGUCAAAACAUUGAUUGAAAUGGAUUGGAGGAGCUGAACCCCAAUCAUCAGUGUUCCAGGAUGCGUUGUGCAUUAAUGACAGGCUUUACUGGCAGCAACAGAGUCAGACAUGCAACUUUCAAUACGGUUAUCUCGUCGCCGCAGACUGUCUUUGAAGGAUGGAAAUGCUUGACAGCUUUAUUUGUGGCUGCUCUCUCCUACCUGUGCUACAUCUACUGGGACAGAAUAGAGCUUGCUUCACAGGCUGCCUGGAGUUGGGUGACCAAAUAUCCAGCUAGCUGGAAGAACUCUGGGGAGAAGGUGGAGCAGCAAAGGUCCAGAAAAAGGCUUCAAAGCCCUCUGCUGAUCAAAGUCAAGCGGCUGGAAUUGAAAGUGACUGCUAUGAAGAGAACCUUGAUGAAGCAUUGUUCACAUCGAACCUCCCCAUCUUGUACCUCCCAACACUGCUCUCUGUACACACCAACAGCUCUUCAGACUGGGAGAGUGCUGCAUAGGCCAUAAAGAUAACAUGGACUCCACUCCAAAGGAGACAUUUUAAUGAUUAUUUCAUUGACCCUGCUGUUUAGACUGUGCAGGACACCUAUGUGUAUACAGAAUUGCAUUGGCAUGAGAAAACACUUCUUUUCUAAAUAUAUUUUCUUUCAAUAAUA